GAGGAACAAGUAGAAAAUUACAGCCAUUCCGGACGAAAUUGAAGCGCGCGUCAGUGCACGUCCAACAACCGCCGCAACCGGUCGUUCCAGCGUCAUAUAUUCCGCGUCCUUUGUCUCGAGGAACUGAUGCGGUAUCACGUGUAUAAAAGUAAUAUCUGCUAUCCCAGUACCAGUCAAAGGGGUCUCGCCGCGUUUGAGUUAUAACGCCACACGAUGACUAGGGCGAGAGUGUCUCGUGAAGUGGGGGAUGGCUUGGCCUCUCUGUAUGCAUACAGGGUGUCCCGUAACUGGUGGCACAGGCGAGGACAGAGGGGUUGAUAAACGCCCGCCCCCAUUCCAUCGUCGACCGUUUUCAACGUCGUCCCGACGACCCCAGUCAUCCGCCACGGGCCACAAUCAUCGCAGCGUCGCGGUAUUCAUAAACUAACUCAGACAACGUCUGAAACUUUGCGUCACAGGAUGGCGAUGCUCUGAUAUGGAAUAAUGGCGACGGCAUAGUAAUGAAGAUCGUGCAUGUUCACGCAUACCCGGCCGCUGCACGAGCUGUCCCUAAGUAUUUCCAUUCACGUCCCGCGAGUUCGUCCGAUGACGCGUACGUUCGUUCUGUUGCGCUUUAUCGCGGCCAGCCUGAGACUGAAAAUUGAUUAAUCGCGAGCACCAGUUGUUUGGAAUGGCGACAACAAGAAUUCAUCCUGGUGGGUGACGUUCGUGGUAUAGAAACGCGAACGGUGACUUUCGUCGCGAUAGUAGCACUGGUCUUGCGACGAAUUGGGGUGGUUAGGAUGUGGUGGAGGAUGGGGAGAGUUUAUAACAUGGGCCAGGAUGGUUUCCAGAAAGGUUUUGGUUUUGGUAGAUGGUUCAGGUUGACGUGACGAGCUCUGUUUUAAAUUGACAAAAAUCGUCCCCCAGUCGAGGAGUUAAUGGUCCCAGAGCCCGAUGGGUCACGCGACCGUUAAAAAUAAUCAUUUGUUUCCAUCACUUUCAAUCUGUGCCGGAACGUUGGAACGCGUAACGGUCCUCCAAUGACCGAUUCGAUUAUAAUCAAGGGAAAUCGGCGUCGUUACGCAAUCGGGCCAUCGUCCGCGAAGCACUGAUUUCGGGGGCGUUGUAGGAUGGAUGGCUGCGAACAGGCCGGCCAACCGGGGGAUGGCACGAGGGACAGGGCAGAAUAAAUAAACGCCAUAAUUCACGUUCAAGAGUUACGAACGGUUCAAUUCGCAAUUGGAAUCGGUCCAACGGCUGUGACGCGAUAUAGACGAACGCCUGGCAAUGGUGGCCGCGGACCCCCGGGCGAGAGGGCGGCGAGAGGUUGGCGCUCAGGAUACGGGAAAGGGCUGAAAGCAUUACACGACGAAGGGACAAACAGCUCGUCGCUUCUGUGUACGACGACGAACGUUGCCUGAAAUUAAUUU